GCAUCGAUAGCUCAGUGGCAGAGUGGUGGGGCGUUUACGCAUGCGGCCCGGGUUCGAUUCCCGGUCGAUGUA